rnacentral:lncRNA from 1 species
GUUGACGCGUAUAGAAGAAAAGCCUUGUAUUAUAAUACGGGCGAUUAUUGAAGUUGAUAUUACUAAUUCUUGUAAAUGUUUUAAUUGAAGGACACUCGCAUCUGAAGAUAGCGAGAGUUUAACAAAUUGCGGAUAUGAUGAUGGAACGGUCCGAGAUGUGACAAGAAGAGCAUACUCAUCAAGGACCUAAAUCGCGUAACGAUCGCAAAUAAGUAAUGGCAAGGAAUGCCCAUCGGGGCAAGCAUUACCAGGUGCACAUUUUAAACUUAUAGUACAAACAGUAAUAUGCAACAAAUACAUAGUGAAUGACAGCUGCAUAUAGAAUAUGAAACUUGGAAAACCUGGAUAGGUUACCUAUCCAGGAUGACGUUUCCAAGAGAAAUUCAGUAGAGAAUAUGUAUUAUUCACAAAUUGUGAAUAACAAGACAAUAACAGAAUUCAGUUUAUAUAGAAACUUGGACGAGAGUGAUCAUCCAAGUAAGUAUUCUCAAUAUAAAUCCUAUUGAGAAAAGUAAUGAUCACAUCAACAAAUGUGAAUAAAUGUUUAUAAAAAGGGACAUUUUACAUGUUCAAGGAUAAACGACUAAAACUAAUAAUUGUUAACUAACAAUUAAAUAAAGUUUUACCAAAUGAAAUCAUAAAUAUGGAAAUAAUUUGAGGAGUUACUUACAUGGGACGUGAUGUGGUAAUUAUAAUAAGGUCACGCGUACCAUGUGUUGAUAGCUUACUCUGGCCAAGUAAGUAGUGAACACAUGAUAGCAUGAGCUUCUUAUAAUGAGCGCAGUUAUGUCCGAUGUAGUAAGGUCAAGAUGAAUGAAAAUUUAAAGGAUCCUUAGGGUCAAGAAAUCUUAUGGGCAUACUCGUAUAAAUGGUUUUCGCGGGAACCAUAAAAACGACGUAUGGCGCACAUAGAAAUAAAUGACCCAAGGAAAUUCGUGACAUAAGUCAUUUCGGACGAAACAACCAUGGUAGACAAAAAGGGCAUUGUAAAACCAAAGUAUAAAUGACCCGCGGGGUCAUAGAAACAAAGGUAUUGCCCACAUGGGAAAAACAAUCAAAGUCGUUGACUUUGGUCGUAGUAAAGAAAUGAUGAUGAUGAUGAUAAUCAUCAUUCAUAGUUUAUAAGACUGUCAAGGAUGGUCGAAUAAAGAAUAAAGGUUUGGUUGAAUAAAAGCGAUGGAUUUCGCUAAGACAACCAAACAAAUUAAAACGAAAUCUUAAUGUAUACCGGAAUGCUUGCACUAAUAAUGACUUCGGUAAAGUACCCGGUUGAUGGGUAAGGAUUUAAACACAUGCGUAAACCGAGAAACGGGAACACGAAUUUAAAGUCAAAAGACUCGGAUUAUGAGUUAUGACUGAAAGACCAUAAAAUUUCGCAAACAGAAAUUUUGAUAAUUAUAUUCAACUAUUUUGAGGUUGAACGGGUUGAAUAAAGUAUAAUGCUUGAUGGCAUAAGUAAGCGCAAGCCGGAUAACGGUAAGCUUGAGACAAACCGAUGCUUAAUUGACGUGAGAAGUCAUAGAGUCGGAAGAAUUAUCCGAAAGAAAACGAUUGUAGACACGAACUACAGUCAAAGUUAACGGAUUUCAAGCAUGAAAACAAAUGAUUUUCAAAAAAAAAA